rnacentral:rRNA from 1 species
UACGAGGGGGGCGAGCGUUGUUCGGAAUUAUUGGGCGUAAAGAGCGUGUAGGCGGCCAGGUAGGUCAGCUGUGAAAACUCGAGGCUCAACCUCGAGACGCCGGUUGAAACCAUCUGGCUAGAGUCCGGAAGAGGAGAGUGGAAUUCCUGGUGUAGCGGUGAAAUGCGCAGAUAUCAGGAAGAACACCCGUGGCUAAGGCGGCUCUCUAGUACGGUACUGACGCUGAGACGCGAAAGCGUGGGGAGCGAACAGG